AUUAAUAAUAAUGUUGAAAUCUGAUCUACUCUGCUCUGCUCUGCCCUGCCCAGAUAGUUAUUUAUGGCUAGACUCUAGUCUAGGCAUCAUCCCCUACACCCCUCUCUAAACACAUCGUUUAACACCCCUUCCCCCAUCUACCUACUUUCAUAGUUUCUGCAGUACUAUACCCUCACAAAAUGCAGCAUACUAUUACUCCCUAAAAUCCUAAAAAAAAAUUCAGUAACUUCCUCUACCCCACAAAUAUAUAUACCCAAAAAAAAAAAAAAAAACAUCUUGUUCUCUCUUUAUUUUCCCUCUCCAUUAUCUCUCUCAUCUAAGCUUUAAAACUUCAACCAUGGCGGACAUUAGAGACGAAGUCAAACAACCGAAGCAAAUUUCACCGAAAAAAAGUAGCGAAAAUCAAAAGAGAAACAAAUUGAUAGUUUAAUAACUGAAAAUGUAUAUAUUUUGGAGAAAUCUAUUUCAGAGAACAGAAACAACGAUUCUUCA